rnacentral:tRNA from 1 species
AAAAUCGGUGAGGGUUCAAGUCCCUCUAUCCCCAAUAAAAGCCUAUUUUUCUUAGUAACUUUACUUCCUAACUAUUUUUUAUCUUUUCCUUUUUUUUAAUCUAAAAAUUCAGGGGCUGGGUAAGAUUUUUGCAUAAUUUCUUACUUUUUUAGUCCCUUUUUUAUGGACUUUUACUUUUAAUUAAUUCACUUAACAUAGAUAAAGUGUUCUACUAAGAUAAUGUGGGGAAAAG